rnacentral:rRNA from 1 species
GACGAACGCUGGCGGCGCGCUUAACACAUGCAAGUCGAGCGAGAACCGGAGCUUCGGCUCCGGGGACAGCGGCGAACGGGUGAGUAACACGUGAGUAACCUGCCCUCGGCACCGGGAUAGCCCGGGGAAACCCGGAUUAAUACCGGAUAGCCUUGCCGGCUCUCGAGCUGGUAAGAAAAGGUAGCUUCGGCCUCUGGCCGAGGAUGGGCUCGCGGCGGAUUAGCUUGUUGGCGGGUAACGGCCCACCAAGGCGA